GACGAACGCUGGCGGCGUGCUUAACACAUGCAAGUCGAACGGAAAGGCCCUGCUUUUGUGGGGUGCUCGAGUGGCGAACGGGUGAGUAACACGUGAGUAACCUGCCCUUGACUUUGGGAUAACUUCAGGAAACUGGGGCUAAUACCGGAUAGGAGCUCCUGCUGCAUGGUGGGGGUGGGAAAGUUUCGGCGGUUGGUGAUGGACUCGCGGCUUAUCAGCUUGUUGGUGGGGUAGUGGCUUACCAAGGCUUUGACGGGUAGCCGGCCUGAGAGGGUGACCGGCCACAUUGGGACUGAGAUACGGCCCAGACUCCUACGGGAGGCAGCAGUGGGGAAUAUUGCACACUGGGCGGAAGCCUGAUGCAGCAACGCCGCGUGCGGGAUGACGGCCUUCGGGUUGUAACCCGCUUUCGCCUGUGACGAAGCGUGAGUGACGGUAAUGGGUAAAGAAGCACCGGCUAACUACGUG
rnacentral:rRNA from 1 species